rnacentral:lncRNA from 1 species
CUGGUAGGGCCGGCAUAAUGAAAUACCAUUCUUAUCAUGUAAUUUACUGAUGCCCUGCUUCCCGUCCCCCUUUGGGAUUCCUGGCAGCUGACCGAUAAAAAUGAGAGCGGUUGAGACUAGAUGUCAUUCUGCAAUUCUUGCAGGGUCCCAUCUCCUCUGUUUAUAUAUCUAUGGUUCCCAUCUUCAAGGGUCAGGCUAGAUGGCCCCUGGUUCAUCACCCCUCCGCCCUUCCCCUGCAGGACUCAACGGGAGCUUCCCAGUGGAGCUGAGCCAUGGAAGCCAGAUUGUCCCCUGUGGCGAAGCCCUGCGUCACCUUUAGGUGCCCGGCGCCCCCUGCUGGCCUACACCGGAAGAAUCCGCAGUGCUUUCCAGGUGAAGAAACAGGUGAAGAAACCGACCUGAGGGGCUCAUCUUCCAGCGUCAUAACUUUUAUAUGCCUGUUGUCUUUGUCCAUGGAGUUUUCUUGGCAGGGAUACUGGAGUGGCUUGCCGGUUCCUGCUCCAGGUGGAUCACAUUUGGUCAAAACUCUCCACUAUGACCUGUCCAUCUUGGGUUCCCUGCUCGGCACAAGUUCAUAGCUUAUC